rnacentral:rRNA from 1 species
UACGUAGGGCGCAAGCGUUGUCCGGAAUUAUUGGGCGUAAAGAGCUCGUAGGCGGCUUGUCACGUCGGUUGUGAAAGCCCGGGGCUUAACCCCGGGUCUGCAGUCGAUACGGGCAGGCUAGAGUGUGGUAGGGGAGAUCGGAAUUCCUGGUGCAGCGGUGAAAUGCGCAGAUAUCAGGAGGAACACCGGUGGCGAAGGCGGAUCUCUGGGCCAUUACUGACGCUGAGGAGCGAAAGCGUGGGGAGCGAACAGG